rnacentral:rRNA from 1 species
AUUGAACGCUGGCGGCAGGCCUAACACAUGCAAGUCGAGCGGAUGAAGAGAGCUUGCUCUCUGAUUUAGCGGCGGACGGGUGAGUAAUGCCUAGGAAUCUGCCUGGUAGUGGGGGAUAACGUUCCGAAAGGAACGCUAAUACCGCAUACGUCCUACGGGAGAAAGCAGGGGACCUUCGGGCCUUGCGCUAUCAGAUGAGCCUAGGUCGGAUUAGCUAGUUGGUGAGGUAAUGGCUCACCAAGGCGACGAUCCGUAACUGGUCUGAGAGGAUGAUCAGUCACACUGGAACUGAGACACGGUCCAGACUCCUACGGGAGGCAGCAGUGGGGAAUAUUGGACAAUGGGCGAAAGCCUGAUCCAGCCAUGCCACGUGUGUGAAGAAGGUCUUCGGAUUGUAAAGCACUUUAAGUUGGGAGGAAGGGCAUUAACCUAAUACGUUAGUGUUUUGACGUUACCAACAGAAUAAGCACCGGCUAACUUCGUGCCAGCCGCCGCAGUAAUAC